GGGCGGGUGGCCGAGCGGUCGAAGGCGGCGGACUGUAAAUCCGCAGGUGCAAACCCACGCAGGUUCAAAUCCUGCCCCGCCCACCA
rnacentral:tRNA from 1 species